rnacentral:rRNA from 1 species
ACGAACGCUGGCGGCGUGCCUAAUACAUGCAAGUAGGACGCACAGUUUAUACCGUAGCUUGCUACACCAUAGACUGUGAGUUGCGAACGGGUGAGUAACGCGUAGGUAACCUGCCUAUUAGAGGGGGAUAACUAUUGGAAACGAUAGCUAAUACCGCAUAACAGUAUGUAACACAUGUUAGAUGCUUGAAAGAUGCAAUUGCAUCGCUAGUAGAUGGACCUGCGUUGUAUUAGCUAGUAGGUAGGGUAAUGGCCUACCUAGGCGACGAUACAUAGCCGACCUGAGAGGGUGAUCGGCCACACUGGGACUGAGACACGGCCCAGACUCCUACGGGAGGCAGCAGUAGGGAAUCUUCGGCAAUGGGGGGAACCCCUGACCGAGCAAACGCCGCGUGAGUGAAAGAAAGGUUUUCGGAUCGUAAAAGCUCU